UACGAAGGGUGCAAACGUUGCUCGGAAUUAUUGGGCGUAAAGCGCACGUAGGCGGCCCAGCAAGUCGGAAGUGAAAUCCCACGGCUCAACCAUGGAAGUGCUUUCGAAACUGCUGGGCUUGAGUACAAAAGAGGAUCGCGGAAUUCCCGGUGUAGAGGUGAAAUUCGUAGAUAUCGGGAGGAACACCAGUGGCGAAGGGCGGCGAUCUGGGUUGAUAACUGACGCUGAGGUGCGAAAGCGUGGGGAGCAAACAGGG
rnacentral:rRNA from 1 species